GACGAGUCUUACGAACGUUAUUCGGAAUUACUGGGCUUAAAGGGUGCGUAAGCGGUGGAGUAAGUCGGAUGUGAAAUACCUUAGCUUAACUAGGGAACUGCACUCGAUACUACUUUGCUAGAGUAAGACAGAGGUGAGUGGAACUGAGGGUGGAGCGGUGAAAUGCGUUGAUAUCCUCAGGAACACCGGUGGCGAAGGCGACUCACUGGGUCUUUACUGACGCUGAUGCACGAAAGCUAGGGUAGCAAACGGG
rnacentral:rRNA from 1 species